AACAAGGAAAACUAUCGUGUUUAUUUCAGAUGAAAACAUUGACGAAAGGCUGUGACACACUUGCUUUUAUUGCAGAAAGUUUUUCAUUGUAAAUACAAGGAAGUUUAAGCUUCGCGUUUCCGGGAAAGGCAAACGGCAGAUUUGAACUUUCUUCGCAAAAUUUUCGUUAAACGUUUUCGUUUCAUAUUUUCUUUCUUGUGUCGAAAGAAUAGUCAUGCAUUGCAGUUUUAAAACAGCAAGUUCAUUUACUCUUUAUUGCCUGAUACCGUAUUUUUUUUCUUCGCUGGCUGGCGCUUGCCGUUUGCCGUUUAACGCGAAGCUUAAACUCUCUACAACAUGUAUAAUGUGGACUGAAGGAAAAUAUUAAACAUUGAUUCACACUUGAAAACCAGAAUUCAACAAUAAUAUAUUAUAUAAAAUUUGUUUAACGUAUUUAAUAGUCUCCAUUUUGGCAUACAGCAAAGGAAACUCGUGGCCGCGGUUUUUUCUCUGUGAGCGACAAAUGCCCGGGGGUAAUAACCCGAUAUUGACAAAUGCCCGCAGCUGGAAUUGACUGAUGCAUUAGUAAUGAGAAGUUAGUCUAGCAGGCCUAAUUUAGGGAUUUUUGCCAAUCAAUUUUUAAUUGAACGUUUAUGCAUGCGCAUGUUAGUUUAAAUUCAAAUUGUAAUCCUACCUGAAGAUGGAGUAAAUCUCCGAAACGUCUUUGUUAAUG